UACGAGGGGGGCGAGCGUUGUUCGGAAUUAUUGGGCGUAAAGGGCGCGUAGGCGGUGCGGUAAGUCACCUGUGAAACCUCUGGGCUCAACUCAGAGCCUGCAGGCGAAACUGCCGUGCUGGAGUGUGGGAGAGGUGCGUGGAAUUCCCGGUGUAGCGGUGAAAUGCGUAGAGAUCGGGAGGAACACCAGAGGCGAAAGCGGCGACCUGGACAGGUACUGACACUCAACUGCGAAAGCGUGGGGAGCAAACAGG
rnacentral:rRNA from 1 species